GACGAACGCUGGCGGCGUGCCUAAUACAUGCAAGUCGAACGCACAGUUUAUACCGUUGCUCGCUACACCAUAGACUGUGAGUUGCGAACGGGUGAGUAACGCGUAGGUAACCUGCCUGGUAUCGGGUGAUAACUACUGGAAACGAUAGCUAAUAUCUCUUAAUAUUAAUUAUUGCAUGAUAAUUAAUUGAAAGGUGCAAUUGCACCACUACCAAAUGGACCUGCGUUUUAUUAGCUAGUAGGAGAGGUAACGGCUCACCUAGGCGACGACACAUAGCCGACCUGAGAGGGUGAUCGGCCAAACUGGGACUGGGACACGGCCCAGACUCCUGCGGGAGGGAGCCGUAGGGGAUCUUCGGGAAUGGACGAAAGUCUGACCGGGGCACGCCGGGGGAGUGAAGGAGGUUUUCGGGUCGUAAAGCUCUGGUGUAAGGGAAGGACGGAUGUGGGAGUGGAAAGUGCACACUGUGACGGUAUCUUAUCAGAAAGGGACGGCUAACUACGUG
rnacentral:rRNA from 1 species